GCCGCUGUGGUGGAAUAGGCAGACACAAGGGACUUAAAAUCCCUCGGAGUAAAAUCCGUACCGGUUCAAGUCCGGUCAGCGGCACCC
rnacentral:tRNA from 1 species